GCCCGGGUGGCGGAAUUGGUAGACGCAGGGGACUCAAAAUCCCCCGCCGGCAACGGUGUACGAGUUCGAGUCUCGUCCUGGGCA
rnacentral:tRNA from 1 species